rnacentral:rRNA from 1 species
AUGAAUGCUGGGCUGGGCCACCUCAAAUGGCGUGAGCCGCAUACGGGGAGACCCGCUCGUACGGUUUUCAGGGGGAUCCGGCCGGCCGGCACCCACCCGACUAGAGGGACUGAGAAACUAAUCGAGUACAAAACUUAUCUUCAAGCUCUACCUUAUUUUGAUCGUUUAGAGGCGAUCGCGGAGUCACUGAAUGAAGUCCUCCCUCUCUUUCUUUUGGAGAAACGAGUGAUACGCAGGCGCAAGAUCUGUCAGCAAGUGCGACUUCCCAGUGCAUAUGCAAGCGCCGCGACGCCCGCCCAUCAACCCGUUCUGUCCGCUGCCUGGUCAUGGCGCUUCCCGCCCUGGCUGCUCGCUCGCUCGGUCACCCUCUCCGCCGCCUUCAAACCAAGCAACACUCCCUCUUCCUACGACCCCCCUCAGAACCCGAGCUCAGGAACAGCAUCUUUGGCUACUGUCUGA